rnacentral:rRNA from 1 species
AACGAACGCUGGCGGCAUGCCUAACACAUGCAAGUCGAACGAGACCUUCGGGUCUAGUGGCGCACGGGUGCGUAACGCGUGGGAACCUGCCCUUAGGUUCGGAAUAACUCCCCGAAAGGGGUGCUAAUACCGGAUAAUGUCUUCGGACCAAAGAUUUAUCGCCUUUGGAUGGGCCCGCGUUGGAUUAGCUAGUUGGUAGGGUAAAAGCCUACCAAGGCGACGAUCCAUAGCUGGUCUGAGAGGAUGAUCAGCCACACUGGGACUGAGACACGGCCCAGACUCCUACGGGAGGCAGCAGUGGGGAAUAUUGGACAAUGGGCGAAAGCCUGAUCCAGCAAUGCCGCGUGAGUGAUGAAGGCCUUAGGGUUGUAACGCUCUUUUACCCGGGAUGAUAGUGACUGUACAGGGAGAAUAAGCUCCGGCUCUCUCCG